UUUUGUAAUUAUGUGUUCCUCUAGUGUAAGAGCUAUUGUUGCUUUAAAUCUUCAUAACUAUGGAAGUGGACGACAUCCCUGGGGUAAUCUGAAGCCAGAUUAUUUGGAAAAGAAAAAGUUUGUUGAGGCCCAUGCUGAUGAUGGUCUUCUAUAAAUUUUUGGCCUUAAGCACGGAUGGCAUGCAUCAUUUGUUAUGGUCGAACUCAUCUCUGCCAAGCACAUUGCUCAGGUAUAUUGAGAUGAUUUCUUUGGAGCAAUUCUUGACAACAUUUGUAGUUGAGGCCUUUAGAAUGGAAGAAUGUAUUUCACUAAUUUUUGUAUACAUUUCUUGUUUUGUAUUUAGUGAUAAAGGAAUCAGAAUUGGGCAUAAAUUAUGUUGUAAUAUGAUUUCUUAAGCCUAGACUAGUAGACUAAAUAUUGUAAUUACAUUUGAGUAAUUAAUAAAAAUCUAUUUAUGUUA